rnacentral:tRNA from 1 species
UGAGUUAAAGCUAAAUUGAAGCGCCUAACUGUUAACUAGAAGAUUGUAAUUAAUUACUAACUCAG